AAGACGGUCUUGCUGUCACUUAUAGAUGGAUCCGCGCUGCAUUAGCUAGUUGGUAAGGUAACGGCUUACCAAGGCAACGAUGCAUAGCCGACCUGAGAGGGUGAUCGGCCACACUGGAACUGAGACACGGUCCAGACUCCUACGGGAGGCAGCAGUAGGGAAUCUUCCGCAAUGGGCGAAAGCCUGACGGAGCAACGCCGCGUGAGUGAUGAAGGUCUUCGGAUCGUAAAACUCUGUUAUUAGGGAAGAACAUAUGUGUAAGUAACUGUGCACAUCUUGACGGUACCUAAUCAGAAAGCCACGGCUAACUACGUGCCAGCAGCCGCGGUAAUACGUAGGUGGCAAGCGUUAUCCGGAAUUAUUGGGCGUAAAGCGCGCGUAGGCGGUUUUUUAAGUCUGAUGUGAAAGCCCACGGCUCAACCGUGGAGGGUCAUUGGAAA
rnacentral:rRNA from 1 species